GUGAGUAAUGUCUGGGAAACUGCCUGAUGGAGGGGGAUAACUACUGGAAACGGUAGCUAAUACCGCAUAACGUCGCAAGACCAAAGAGGGGGACCUUCGGGCCUCUUGCCAUCGGAUGUGCCCAGAUGGGAUUAGCUAGUAGGUGGGGUAACGGCUCACCUAGGCGACGAUCCCUAGCUGGUCUGAGAGGAUGACCAGCCACACUGGAACUGAGACACGGUCCAGACUCCUACGGGAGGCAGCAGUGGGGAAUAUUGCACAAUGGGCGCAAGCCUGAUGCAGCCAUGCCGCGUGUAUGAAGAAGGCCUUCGGGUUGUAAAGUACUUUCAGCGGGGAGGAAGGGAGUAAAGUUAAUACCUUUGCUCAUUGACGUUACCCGCAGAAGAAGCACCGGCUAACUCCGUGCCAGCAGCCGCGGUAAUACGGAGGGUGCAAGCGUUAAUCGGAAUUACUGGGCGUAAAGCGCACGCAGGCGGUUUGUUAAGUCAGAUGUGAAAUCCCCGGGCUCAACCUGGGAACUGCAUCUGAUACUGGCAAGCUUGAGUCUCGUAGAGGGGGGUAGAAUUCCAGGUGUAGCGGUGAAAU
rnacentral:rRNA from 1 species